rfam:Paenibacillus sp. FSL H8-0548 NODE_77_length_18918_cov_2.05606_ID_11444, whole genome shotgun sequence.
CAAGCAUGGCUGUGAAGCCAUGUUGAAUGUACAGAAGUCAGCAGAGGUCAUAGUACGCAGGUUGUUGCAACAACCUGCGGAAGGAC